rnacentral:rRNA from 1 species
CGGUGGAGCAUGUGGUUUAAUUCGAUGCAACGCGAAGAACCUUACCUGGGCUUGACAUGGAUUGGAAGAGUGGCAGAAAUGCUCCCUCGAUACAGGUGUGACGAGCGCAACCCUUGCCUUUAGUUGCCAGCGGGAUGUCAAGUCUCAUGGCCCUUAUGUCCAGGCUACAUACAUGGAGAUUACAAGGGAUGCGAAGCCGUAAGGUGAAGCCCCCCACAAAAGUCUUCUAAGUUCAGAUUGAGGUGCAACUCGACCUCAUGAAGGUGGAAUCGCUAGUAAUCGGGAUCAGAACGCCGCGGUGAAUACGUUCCCGGGCCUUGUACACACCGCCGUCACACCAUGAAAGUCGGUCGUACCAGAAGUCGCUGUGUUAACCGUAAGGAGGCAGGCGCCCAAGUAUGGUCGAUGAUUGGGGUGAAGUCGUACAAGGU